rnacentral:lncRNA from 1 species
CAGACCCACAGAGCCCCCCCAGAUCCACAGAGCCCCUCUGGACACACGGAGACCCCCGAGACCCACGGGGACCCCCAGACACCUCCUGGACCCACGGAGACCCCCCAGACCCACAGGGACCACCCAGGACCCAUGGAGACCCCCCAGACCCACAAAGCUCCCCUGGACCAAUGGGGACGCCCAGACCCAUGGAGCCCCUCUGGAUCCACGGAGACCCCCCAGACCCACAAAGCUCCCCCAGACCCAUGGAGCCCAUCUGGACCCAAGGAGCCCUCCCAGACCCACAGAGCCCCCCCAGACCCACGGAGACCCCCCAGACCCACAAAGCUCCCCCGGACCAAUGGGGACCCCUGGACCCAUGGAGCCCCACUGGACCCAUGGAGCCCCCCCGGACCCACAGGGACCGCCCAGGACCCACGGAGCCCCCCCAGACCCACAAAGCUCCCCUGGAACAAUGAGGACCCCCGGGCCCAUGGAGCUUCUCUGGACCCACAGAGCGCCCCCAGACCCAUGGGGACCCCUAGACCCACAGAGCCCCCCCAGACCCACGAAGCUCCCCUGGACCCAGAGGGACCCCCGGACCCAUGGAGCCCCUCUGGACCCACGGGGACCCCCAGACCCACAAAUCUCCCCCGGACCAAUGGGGACCCCCGGACCCAUGGAGCCUCUCUGGACCCACACAGCCCCCCCAGACCCAUAGGGACCCACAGACCCACGGAGCCCCUCUGGACCCACAGAGCCCCCCCCAGACUCAUGGGGACGCCCAGAUCCACAGGGACCCCCGGAACUCUGGGGAUGUACAGACCCACAGAGCCCCCCCAGACCCACAGAUGCCCCCAGACCCACGGGGACCCCUGGACCCACGGGGACCCCCGGACCCAUGGAGCCCCCCCAGGAGCCCCCCCGCUGUCUCGGGGCCGCUCCGUUGUGGCCGUGACCCCGCAGGGUGCGGCCAUGGGGCGGGGGGGUGGGGGGGGAGUUGGGGGUCACGGCCCUUCAAGGCCACGCCCGAGGCCACGCCCCCGCCGCGCCCCCAUUGGCUGCCGGCCCGGUGGCCAGUUUGGGCUCUCGGCCAAUAGGGAGCGCGGCCAACGCCUGGGAGGGGCGGAGCGAGGGAGACGAUUGGCCGAGGCCGAGCGGAGGGGCGGGGCCGCCCCCGCCCUAUCCCCGCCCACCGCCCCUUCCCCUCCGCGCCGCGCCCGCGGAGCCGGAACCCCCC